UAAUCAAGCACUGCUAGUUUUCCUCUAGCACACGCCUGCUGUUGAGAGAAACAGAGCAUUGCAUCUUGUUGCCAGGGAUGCUGUCACAUCACCAGGGGGAAUUGCUUCGCAGUACAUCUCUCCCGGCACGGUCACGCCAAAAGCUGGAGAUCUCAGUGCUGGAGCCCAGACAGGCUUACUUCUCCCAAAUUAAACAAGCGUAUAAGAUUGGCUUACAAACAAGUUCUUUGAUACCAACAUUUAAGAUGCUAUAUAUUGGUCAUUUGGUGUUACCUACAUGAUAUACUUGCAAAAGGAAUUAAGCAGAUGAUUGACAUUUAAUGACAUAAGAAGAAUAAAAAGUUUUAAUUUAGAUGCUGGCUAAUGGCUUUCUUAGUGACAGCCUAUGAAGUUUCUAAGUUUCAACAUCCGAGUUACAGUCAUUAAGUAGCUGUUCUGUCCUUUAGCGUCUCUGUUUUAUUACAACUGUAGUGUCUGUCAUAGAGCAUGAGAGAGAAGAAAAAUGAAAGUCAUUACUGUCAUUCUAGAGGUUACUUCACUGCCUAAACCUCCAAAGAAUUUGUAUCUUAACAUCUUAUCCCCAACAAGGAGUCCAUGUUAAUUCCCUUAAAUAGGGUCAACAUGUCAACAGUGGGAAUACAGAGACACUUGUUUGCCUGUUUCCUAGUGAGAGGCCUGUAUUUUUAGUAGACUGCACAGCAAACACAAGAAAAGCUGAUAUCUGGGAGCGAGGAUAGUAGUGGAAGAAUUUCUAAAUUUCAUCAUGCAGCAUUAUGUACAAAAUUCCUAGGUUAUUUGUGUGUAUUCAGCAGAAACUUAUGAAUCAUACGGUUGUUGUCUUGUCAGAUUGGAUAGAUAUCUUUCUGUUAAUGUACCCUUAGGCCACUUUCACACGGUCAGCAUUUGGUUAGAAGCUAAAACCAGGAGUGGAACUUACAGAGAAACAGUAAAAUGGAAAUAUGUCUGCCACCGUCCGAUCCACUAUGCUGCCCAGAGACUUCUAUUAUGACGGAAUGCAAAACGGAAUGCCUCUUAAAGGUCUCCAUGAUGCAUUCCAUCAUAGAAUUCCAUCAUAAUCCAUGAUAACGGAAUUGCCACUAAACCCAAACACCGAACCCGAACAUGAAAACAUCAAGUUUGCUUAUCCCUAGCCACAAAUAUUUCCAAUAGUUUUUUCCUGACCAUUCCUGGUUUUGACUUACAAAUACUGUUGAAAAACACUGAGCAUGUGAUGGUUAUCUUAACCCCACAACACUUUAAAGAUGGUGUCCGCUCUCAAGUUGUUUCAAAUAGCAGAGGCUAAGCUUUGCAAUCAACCAUAAAAGCGAUCUCAGACAUUUAACCCCUUAGAUACCUUGAUCAAAUGUCACUGUGGAAUCUGAUCCAUGUAACAGCCUCCCCCAACUGAGAUCGGGGAAGCUGUUACAUUGCAGUAAUAAGCCGGGGCUUGCUUGAGGCUCCGAUGCCUAUCAUUGGUAUAUUCCCCCAAAAUGGUAUUAAUGAAAAGUACAGAAUGCCCCACAAAUCGGUGUGUCCUCACACAGCUCCAUAGACAUAAAUAUAAAAAAAGUUAUGGGGGGUAAAAUAAUUUUUUACAAAGUUAAUUUUUUUUUCAGUAUUAAAACACAAGGAAAACCUAUAUAAAUAUGGCAUCUUUGUAAUUGUACUGAUCUGGAGAAUGAAGGUCACAGGUCAGUUUUACCACAUGGGGAAUGCCAUAAAAACAAAACAAAAAUUCAGCUUCCCACAACAUUGUAUGCAAUAUGAAACGGUGCCAUUAGAAAGUAGAACUUG